rnacentral:sRNA from 1 species
UUAAGAUGAAUUGAAACCAUAAUCAACAACAGUCACAGUCACAGAGCAACAAUUCGAGUAAGAGAACUUAUCAGACAACUUAUCAUGAAGAGCCAACUUAAACUGAACACAUAGUGGUUAUACGCUGAAAAAGCCGGAUAUCCGGCUCCGUUACAGGGCUAAUCCAUUUGGUUAUUCAUUUACAACAUCCACUUUUUUACUUUUAAUACUCCACAUCAUCUUCUCUCUCUUCCACAUCAUUAUUCAACACCUACACAAUUUUCAUCAUUACAAUACUUUGUUUAAUAAAAUUACAACACCUUACCCCACCAUUUUCAUUUCAUAUUUUUU